rnacentral:lncRNA from 1 species
CUCAGGUGGGUGCCAUUGCCAUUAUAAAAGAACAAGUUCGUGGUGAGUUCUGGUACCUCUUUUUUCUAGAAAAAUAGCAUUGGUCCCCAACACCCUAACAACCAAAACCAGAACUCAGGAAGAAAGUCCAAAAUUUUAAUAAGGAAUGGGGAAAAUAUAUAAUUUACCUUAAAAACCAUUGCAAACAAUUAAAAUUAUUAGUAGGAUUGGAAUAACACUUGUGGUUGAAUUUUGGGUAUAAUGGAGAUUUAAAAGGGUUUGGAUUAAUAGACAAGAUGCAGGAGGAAAAGGACCCACAAUGGGAAGGAGGAAAGUUCAGGAGAUUCCUUGGAAUUCUCGUUCUGUGUUGGUUGUUUGAUAAUUGUGUGUAGCAUUUUAAAAUCUGAAAAACUAAAUAAAAUUUUGAAAAAUGAAAUAAAUGGAAUUGUUCUCCCUAGUAUUCUACAUGGAGGGAUGAUGAAGAUGAAGAUUUUUUUGUAUGGAGGGGCAUUCAACCAUGCUAGCCUCUCCUUUAGGGUGGGCAAGCUGUGGCACUCCAGAUGUUGUUGGACAAUAUAGCCAAUGGUUAGCAGUGAUGGAGGCUAUAUUCCAACAACAUCUGAAGGGUGCCAGAUUUGGGAAGAUCAGUCUAUGCAGAGGUUUACUACCUCUGUGAAAACCAGACCUAAAUCACAUUACAGAAAAAUCUGCCUCCAUAUGUAUGUUAGAAAGUACUAUCAUUAAACCAAACACCUUUCUUAAUUAUUAUAACAAUGGAAUCUUUCUUAAUUAUAAGAUUUAUCUGCCCACAACUUUUCUUUAUGAGCAAGCAGGGAAGUGGUCAGCCCAGGCAAGGCCCUGAGAGCUGUAUGCAGGUCUGAUAGUUAAUAAGAAAAAAAUCAUUACUGCCUUCAUUAAGAUAGGUGUUAAUUUAAUUACAGUGCUCUGCAGGAUAGGUGGAGAGACUUCCAGGCAAACUUCAAAGUCACCAGUGCUCAUUUCAGAUAUCUUUUAGGCAUCAAUGCCCAUUUAAGAAACACUUCUCUAACUCUUAAGCAAAAGCUAAGAGCACAGGGGGUGGGGCAGGGAGUUGAGACAGAGAUAAGCAAGUAAAAGUGCCGGCAAAUUAAGAAACUUGUUUGGAAGAAGGGUGCAGAACAUCACAUUAAAUUAAAUUAAUCAUCAACCUGUAAAGGCAGUGUCUGCGGUGUGAUUCAUGGCUUGCCACUCAUUGUGGGCUGGGUCUGGCACUCUUAAGUCUUUGCGCUCAAGGUAGUCAAUUUCAUUCAGGUCAUUGUUAAAUAGGCACAUUCCAAGAAGGUCUCUUCUCAUGGGCUGCACCUGCCACUCCAGUUUGGCCACUCCCAAGACAGAAGAAGAACCCCGUGAUUUACUAAGUGCUGAUCGCUCCACAGACAUCUGUCUCUUGACAUGUCUUUGUCUGAAGGCUCAUACAGUGGCGCCUUUGUCCUAGUCACUCUCUUGCUAACCCUCCCCACCAGCACAUCUUAUUAUAGAGUAAGGUUUCUUCCCCACCCACCCCAUCCUUAUUGUUGCAGAUUUCCCUUUUUAUUUUAAUUGUGAAGAGGAAGAUCAUAUGGUCUGGUUUUACACACACACACACACAAACACACACAUCCCUCUCAGCCCUUCACUCUAAUAAGAGGCACACACAGAGAGAUGCACACACAUGCAAAAGGGAGAAAUUGUGUGCAUGAGAAUUGACCAGAGGGGGGGGGGGGGACAGGUGGUAAGGUAGACAUGUGAGAGUUUUAUUAAGAAGAGAUAAAAUCUCCGAUGAUUUUAUUUUACUGGGUGAACUCUCUUAGAACUGUAGGGAAAUAGAUUUGCGAGAUGAAAAAAGAAUUCUCUUAGUCCUCUUUGAAGCAGAUUUUUUUUUGGGGGGGGAGGCGCAAAAGAAAGUGUGUCAUCCAGCCAACUCAGUCAGAUAAUCCAAUAAAAACAGCCCUCCGAGGGCCAUUGCUAUGGCCACCUAGAGGGCGAGGUUGCCUUUUCUAGGCUCCCUUAUUCCUAGCGAAAUAGGCUGCUUUAAUGGGCAGAGAGUGCUCAAAGCUGCUUCCUUAAAGGUCCAUUAAUGGCUUUGGGUGGCUGGUGGCUUGUAGCUUGAACACCGACUCUACCAGCUUGGGUGGAUGCAGAAAAGAUAUAUUUUUGACUGUGGCCUGCAGCAGGGAGGCAAAAGUCCAGGUUUUGCAGCUGGCUGACCAGAAGGUGCCUUGGAGGGUUCCAAGGGCAAUCUUUUAAAAAGACUGUCUGUCUGGAUGCCUGCCUGCUCUUCAUGCUUGCCUUCCUUAAACUUCCCAGCAUUCAGGGAGAUGAGAAUACAAAAAAAAAAAGUAUUAUGUAAACUAGGGCUAAAUUACCCUUUCUAUCUUUUUUUUAUUAUUUUUAUCGUAACCAUAGUUGGAAAUUAGCCAUGGGAAGCUUGCUAAUCAUGAGUCGAGACGAAGCUGUUUGCUUCCACCAGUGGCAUUUGGAGUAGUGGUCAUCAACAUCAUAAAAAAUUUAUUACCUGGCCUUCACCAUGCAGCUGGUCCAAGGGUGGCUUACAACAAUUAAAAUAUUAAAACAGUUAAGAGUACAGUCACAGGAAUAGGGUGCAACAACAUGUUUUCAGACUACAUCUCCCAUUGAACCCAACCAUUGGCCAUGUUGGCCUGUGCUGAUGUGAGCUGCAGUCCACAACAUGUUGUUGACCAUCCCAGGGACAGAUAGAGCUAGCUGGAAUUGAUUUAUAAAUGGUGCAGGGAGUCUCCAAGUCUCCUGGUUUUCCAGGGACAGUCUCAGGUUUACAGAAGCCAUCCUGGUUUCUGAUUUGAUCCCAGAGUGUCCCACUUUUCCUUAGGACACCCCUAUUUUCAUUGGAGAAAUGUUGGAGGGUAUGGUAGGACGUCCCUGUUGACCAAUGGUCUGGGAUAAUGGGAGUGGUAGUCCAACUGUAGGUUGCCAUGUUGGCUACUCCACUAUAAGAUGUGUACAGUGGUACCUCAGGUUACAGACGCUUCAGGUUACAGAUGCUUCAGGUUACAGACUCCGCUAACCCAGAAUAGUACCUCGGGUUAAGAACUUUGCUUCAGGAUGAGAACAGAAAUCGUGCAGUGGCGGCAUGGCAGCAGCAGGAGGCCCCAUUAGCUAAAGUGGUACCUCAGGUUAAGAACAGUUUCAGGUUAAGAACAGAUCUCCAGAACGAAUUAAGUUCUUAACCUGAGGUACAGCUGUAUAGGACCUGAACAGCUGGCUGUCAACCUUUGCAGCUCUACCUCUUUCUAUCCAAGUAGCAUUUAUGUGCUGUAAACAGCACAACACAUAUACACCCAACCCUGCCCCAAAGUAAUUAUCCAAAUCCUUUUGCCUUGAUUAUUUUUCAAUCUUCCCUUGAAAUUACGUUCAAUCUAUGAAUAAGAAACAAUGGCAAAUCCCCCCCACCUCCGCCAUCUCCCAUGGCUUCUGUUUGCCUCCAUAUUUCAGGGCCGUUUGUCAAUUCUGGCAGCCUUAAUUUAGAACUUACUUUGUGACUCAGUUUUAUGGAGAGGAGAGCCUCUCUGAAAUUACUUCCUUAAGGAUCCGUAUUUUAAUAGUCUGUUUUGUUUUUAUGAAGAUAGCGCCAAUCUUCACUUAAGAGAGUCCAACCUUUGUUCUAGUUGCAUCACUUCCAGAUCCUUAUUAGCUAUCACUUCUUUCAUUGACAGGUUUUACAUGGGACUUCCUGUAUACAAAACAGAUGAUCUACCACAGGGUUAUGGCCCUUCCCUAUAUACUUUCCCAGGUCUUCCUUUGUGGACUAGUCAUUUUUUUUUUCUGGCAUAUGGAGCUGGAAUUGUUAGUACAGUGGCCUUUGUGCUGACUUAAUGAAAGGUGGACUUCCAAUACGGCUUGCAACCUUACAUGAGGCUCUCCCCAGUCUCCCUUGCUAAGUUGUUCCUUUCAGUUUCUUAGAGAAUUUCUACACCACCAGAAAACUGUGCGAAAGAGCCCUCAGGGAUUUUUACCACCUCGGGUCUUCUCCUCCCUGUAUGUCUGGAUCAGGGUAUGACGCUUUUCAGCAUGACUUGGCAAACUGGUUGCAUUCUCUUGAAUAAGGUUUCAUCUCUUCAUGGGAGUUACUGUACUUUUCCAUGUAUAAGACGAGGUUUUUUUACUCUAAAGUAAUGCUAAAAAGGGACGUGGGUGGCGCUGUGGGUUAAACCACAGAGCCUAGGACUUGCCGAUCAGAAGGUCGGCGGUUCGAAUCCCCACAACGGUGUGAGCUUCCGUUUCUCGGUCCCUGCUCCUGCCAACCUAGCAGUUCGAAAGCAUGUCAAAGUGCAAGUAGAUAAAUAGGUACCGCUCCGGCGGGAAGGUAAACGGCGUUUCGGUGUGCUGCUCUGGUUCGCCAGAAGCGGCUUAGUCAUGCUGGCCACAUGACCCGGAAGCUGUAUGCCGGCUCCCUCGGCCAAUAAAGCGAGAUGAGCGCCGCAACCCCAGAGUCGGCCACGACUGGACCGAAUGGUCAGGGGUCCCCUUUACCUUAAUGCUAAAAAACUGGGGCUGCCUUAUACAGUGGACGCUUGGGUUGCGAACGUGAUCCAUGCGGGAGGCACGUUUGCAACCCGCAGCGUGUGUCUGCGCACACAAGGGUUGCAAUUUGGCGUUUCUGCGCAUGCACAAAGAGCAAUUUAGCACUCCUGCACAUGCACGAGCACUGAAACCUGGAAGUAACCCGUUCUGGUACUUCCGGGUUCAGCGCAGUGCACAACCUGAAAACGCGCAACCUGAAGCGUCUGUAACCCUAGGUAUGACUGUACACAGAUAGUGCAUAGGGAGGACGGGUGAUUGGUUGCAGCAGAGAGCUGCAGCUUGUAAGUGGUGAUUUGGUGGCUGAUUGGUGGCUGGGUCAAGGGCUGCUUUUGAUUGGCUGCUGCUGCGGCAAUUGGAUGUACAAUUCCCGACUGCUGUUUGUAAGCGGGCAGACACUUGUUGGUUUCUGCGGCGUUUGUCCAUGUUUGUCUGUCGGAUUAGUGAUGUUCUGCAUUCCCCCCCCCAAACAAAACACUCAACAACUUUCGGCCAUCUCCCCCAUUUUCUUAAAUUAGAGUCCCCCAAAAUAAAUUAGAGGUAUCUUAUACAUGGGGGCAUGUUAUACAUGGAAAAAUAUGGUAUGCCUCUAGCCUGCUGUGAAGGAAACUAGAUUCAUAGCUCUUGGAGAAUGUGCUCACAUUUUUUGUUUGUUUGUUUGUUUUAUAUACUGCCCUUUAUCACAAGAUCUCAGGGUGGUUCACAAGAUAAAAAAUACAGCAUAAAAGCACAUGUACAUAGUUAAAACAAAAACAACAAAAUAAUCACACACACAUCCAAAAACCACAUUUAACCAGCCAAAGGCCUGGUUGAAGAGGAAUGUUUUCACCUGGCACCUAAAAAUAUAUUAUGAAGGCACCAGAUGAACCUCCCUGGGGAGAGCAUUCCACAAAUGGGGGGCCACUGAAGAAAAGGCCCGCUCUCAUGUUGCCACCUUCCAGGCCUCACGUGGAAGAGAGCUCCUCUGCUUUUCAAAGACAACAAAAACCCACUGAGUUGAAAGCUCCACCUCAUCUCUUGAAGUCAAAGGAAGCUUCAGCCUAGUUCAGCACGCUGCUUGGAGGAUUGUGAGGGUUUUAUUAUGUGGUUUAUGCAGUUGUGGCUGUUGUUUUGCAUGUAUCGGUCCAGCUAUUAACUCUCAGCCUUGUCCACAGCUCUGAGGACCUCAGAAGAAGAUCAGGCUACAGAAAUAAGAGAAAGUGCUUCUGUUGCAUCAGAAGAAUCUUCCUCCAUGUUUCAUGCUUUCCAUCUGAGGAACCUUGUCGCCACGUGUGAAGUACUAGAAUGCACUCGAAAAGAGAUAUUGUUUUAUUACUAAGCUCUAAGCUGCUUUGAUAUUCAGAGAGCACGAGCAAAAUGAUUAAGCUUCCCACAGGCUUGUGCUCACUUCAUGAUGUAAAUCAAACAAUCAAAUUAGUUUUCUGGGAGCCAAACCCAUUGCCAGUUGAUCCUUAGUCCUGAUCAAAGAUAGGCAUAUCUCCUAAAAUAUAUUACAAAUAGAAAACAGACAUGUGUGUGUGUGUGUGUGACAAACAUUCCAAUUUUGGGAAAGGUGCCCAAAUCCAGCCUUACAUGCCUCCUGAGGGGAAUGAGCAAAUCUGUGGAUUAAGAACAAAGGAAGUUUAACCAUUUUCCACACACUUAGCAUUAGCCAGGAGAUGCACCUUUCUCAAGUGUGUGGGUGUAAAUUCACCUGCUCCAUCUGAGGCAGGUGAUUUAUUUCUGUUUAGGUUGCACAGUUAAAAAAUGAUAGCAAUCUUCUACAAACGAGAAACACAACAUGGGGCAAAUCGCCUGGGGCCUCUCCCAGGCAGAUAAGCCUACCUUUGAGAAGCUGGCAUUAGGUAAGAAUGAAAGCGCAGCUUUUAAUCAGGCAUUUAUAUGCAUGACAAGAAUUAACCCUUUGAGCUGCUUUGUGGAAGGGAAUGGGAGAGCACUUUCAGAGCAGGGGGAGCAUUCGGGUUUCAGGUGUGGGUGUGUGAGAGAAAGAGAGGUGUCAAUAUAUGCAUACAGUGGUACCUCGGGUUAAGAACUUAAUACGUUCUGGAGGUCCGUUCUUAACCUGAAACUGUUCUUAACCUGAGACACCACUUUAGCUAAUGGGGCCUCUCGCUGCCGCCGUUCUCAUCCUGAAGCAAAGUUCUUAACCCGAGGUACUAUUUCUGGGUUAGUGGAGUCUGUAACCUGAAGCGUCUGUAACCCGAGGUACCACUGUAUUGUGGCGUAGGUGUUCAAGAUUCUCAGCAAGAUCUGCAGGUCCACUUUAAUCUAUUCAGGACUGUGUGGCAAAAACAAAGAACUCACCAACAACUCUUUCAGGAGCAUUUGUUGUGAUUUGAUUACUGUUUAAGUCAUGGGUAGGCAACCUAAUGAGAUCCGGCCCAAUCGCCUUCUAAAUCUGGCCUGUGAAUGGUCCAGGAAUCAGCGUGUUUUUACAUGAGUAGAAUGUCUGCUUUUAUUUAAAAUGCAUCUCUGGGUUAUUUGUGGGGCAUAGGAAUUCGUUCAUUCCCCCCCAAAAAAAUAUAGCCUGGCCCCCCCACAUGAUCUGAGGGACAGUGGACCGGCCCCCUGCUGAAAAUGUUUGCUGACCCCUGGUUUAAGUUUCUCACAAUAACAGCAAAUUAGGAGGCGGCCAUUCUUUCUUUUUUGAGCAAGCAAAUGAGUAUGUUUUGGAUGCAUACCUAGGACCAACACGGGUCCAUUUAAUUGUUUAUAUUACAACAGUCCCUCAGCGUGUCAUAUGAGCAAAUUGCCCAGAAGCACAGAUUUCCUCAGAAGAGCUCUUUAGCAUUGUUGAGGCAUUGCUUUUCUAUAAUUGGUUGGCUGUGGAAAUUAAAUGGAGGUUUUGCACAGCUCACUAUGCUGAUAUAUUCUAGCAUUGCCCCUCUGACACUUCUGCAGUGCUUACUCACAAGUAAACAUUCCAUUCAGCAGUGACCCUUUUCAGUGUUAAUUAAACAUUUCUUGUUGACAGGUCCUACUUUUUUGCUUCCCACUGAUCUCAGCUAGUGUAGUCAUGAUGGAUAGUCUUUUUAUUUUCCCAUGUUCCCCCAAAGCAAAAAGGCUUGUAAUAACUGGUUCCCUCACAUUUUAAUAUAGUGAAAUUUUCUAUUUUGCCAUAAAUAAUAGAAAAUAAAAUAAUGAGAAAAAGUCACGUUUAAAGCCCUCACCUUAUCUCAUGCCUUAGAAACAGAAACUGGGUCAAGUAUGAGGUUAUUCCAUCACUUUUCUCCAGCUAAGCACAACAGGAAUCAAUAAAAUUGACAGGAUCUCCAAACAGGAAACUUUUAACUAAAGGCAUAGAAGCCCUGAAAUGACUCAGUAGCAUAUUACUAUCCCACAAUGGACAUUUACAUACUGUUUCGUCUACCUUCUAAAACUUACAGUCAGUUCAGCUCUGCUCAGACCUGGAACAUGAAGUCUUCUGUGAAUAGGAGUGGUGGAGAGCAGGAGACCUCAAUGCCGGCGAUCCUGAAGAAGAUGG